GCCGGGAAGUGGAAGAGAAGAGGGCAUAAGAGCAGUGGGAGUGGGAACACGGAGGAAAGCCUAACUUGCUUUGUUUUCACCUCUAGUGUUGGAGGUGAGAGCUUGCUUUGGUGUUUCCCGGUGCCUCCCAUUCCUACAGUUCUCAAGCACUCCUUCCUCUUCCUUUUUUGG
rnacentral:pre_miRNA from 1 species